GACGAACGCUGGCGGCGUGCCUAAUACAUGCAAGUAGAACGCACGGUUUAUACCGUAGCUUGCUACACCAUAGACUGUGAGUUGCGAACGGGUGAGUAACGCGUAGGUAACCUGCCUGGUAGCGGGGGAUAACUAUUGGAAACGAUAGCUAAUACCGCAUAAUAUUAAUUAUUGCAUGAUAAUUAAUUGAAAGGUGCAAUUGCACCACUACCAGAUGGACCUGCGUUGUAUUAGCUAGUAGGUGAGGUAACGGCUCACCUAGGCGACGAUACAUAGCCGACCUGAGAGGGUGAUCGGCCACACUGGGACUGGGACACGGCCCAGACUCCUACGGGAGGCAGCAGUAGGGAAGCUUCGGCAAUGGACGAAAGUCUGACCGAGCAACGCCGCGUGAGUGAAGAAGGUUUUCGGAUCGUAAAGCUCUGUUGUAAGAGAAGAACGGGUGUGAGAGUGGAAAGUUCACACUGUGACGGUAUCUUACCAGAAAGGGACGGCUAACUACGUG
rnacentral:rRNA from 1 species